GACGAACGCUGGCGGCGUGCUUAACACAUGCAAGUCGAGCGGAGCGGCGAACGGGUGAGUAACGCGUUAGUAACUUCCCCCCUCUCUGGGAUCACAGUUUGAAACGGCUGCCAAUACCGGAUAUUGGGGGGUGACUCGGGUCCUAUCAGCUUGGUGGUGGGGUAGUGGCCUCCCAAGGCGACGACGGGUAGCCGGCCUGAGAGGGCGACCGGCCCCAUUGGGCUGGGGUACGGCCCAGAGUCCUACGGGGGGCAGCGGGGGGGAAUAGUGCACAAUGGGGGAAACCCUGAUGCAGCAACGCCGGGUGGGGGAGGACGGCCUGCGGGGUGUAAACCGCUUUCAGCCAUGACGCGGUAGUGGCAGAAGAAGCACCGGCUAACUACGUGCCAGCAGCCGCGGUAAUUC
rnacentral:rRNA from 1 species